GGAUUAGAUACCCUGGUAGUCCACACUGUAAACGAUGGAUACUCGGUGUACGGCCUUCGGGUUGUGUGCCUAAGGGAAACCGAUAAGUAUCCCACCUGGGGAGUACGUUCGCAAGGAUGAAACUCAAAGGAAUUGACGGGGGCCCGCACAAGCGGUGGAGCAUGUGGUUUAAUUCGAUGAUACGCGAGGAACCUUACCUGGGCUAGAAUGCCUCUGACCGUCCGUGAAAGCGGAUUUUCCUUCGGGACAGAGUGCAAGGUGCUGCAUGGUUGUCGUCAGCUCGUGCCG
rnacentral:rRNA from 1 species